UUGCACCUUAUCUCAUUCAACCUGGGAUUAUUAUGCGGGUAAGAUAAUGGAUAAUUGGGUGUUUUUUUUUUCAAAUUUGAAGGAAUAUUAUUAUGCCACUAUUUUUAUAAUAAAUCUAAAUUUUUAAGACACUAUUUAGACAUAAAAAAAUUUAAUUUUUGUCUAUUUAUAUAUUUAAAGUAGGAAUUCCAAAUUUUGGUUUUCCAUCCUAUGUUCGGUACCCACAAUUAAUCCGAAUUCGCGCCGGGUUCGGGUGGUAACGCUCCCUACCAAAGAUCCAAUGCAACAGUAACCAAG
rnacentral:lncRNA from 1 species